AUUGAACGCUGGCGGCAGGCCUAACACAUGCAAGUCGAACGGUAACAGGAAGCAGCUUGCUGCUUUGCUGACGAGUGGCGGACGGGUGAGUAAUGUCUGGGAAACUGCCCGAUGGAGGGGGAUAACUACUGGAAACGGUAGCUAAUACCGCAUAACGUCGCAAGACCAAAGAGGGGGACCUUAGGGCCUCUUGCCAUCGGAUGUGCCCAGAUGGGAUUAGCUAGUAGGAGGGGUAACGGCUCACCUAGGCGACGAUCCCUAGCUGGUCUGAGAGGAUGACCAGCCACACUGGAACUGAGACACGGUCCAGACUCCUACGGGAGGCAGCAGUGGGGAAUAUUGCACAAUGGGCGCAAGCCUGAUGCAGCCAUGCCGCGUGUAUGAAGAAGGCCUUCGGGUUGUAAAGUACUUUCAGCGGGGAGGAAGGGAGUAAAGUUAAUACCUUUGCUCAUUGACGUUACCUGCAGAAGAAGCACCGGCUAACUCCGUG
rnacentral:rRNA from 1 species